UACGUAGGGGGCGAGCGUUGUCCGGAUUUACUGGGCGUAAAGCGCGUGUAGGCGGAAGCCUAAGUCCGAUCUGAAAGCCCCUGGCUCAACCAGGUAUCCGGACCGGAAACUGGGCUUCUUGAGGACGGCAGGGGAGUGUGGAAUUCCUGGUGUAGCGGUGAAAUGCGUAGAGAUCAGGAGGAACACCCAUGGCGAAGGCAGCACUCUGGACCGGACCUGACGCUGAGACGCGAAAGCGUGGGGAGCGAACGGG
rnacentral:rRNA from 1 species